rnacentral:lncRNA from 1 species
UGUGUUUCACGCGCAAGCUCCAACUCUUCCAAAUUCUCCACAUUGUAAACACAGAAGUAGGUGCUCGUUCUGCACUAAAAAUUGGUAGCGCAGAAAAAAUGAUUCUUUGAAACUCCAAGCCAUUUCUUGGAAACUCCAACAAUCAACACUUCCUGCACAUUGAAUAAAAAAAGAUGCAAAGAAUCUUCACCAUUUUCCUCAUAAAGGCGAGCAUUUCGAUGAAUAUAGUGACCACUUGAACUAGUUUUGCUUCCAAUUUGAUCUAUAACCGGCCUGACAAUUAAUCUCGCAAAUAUUUAUUUUGUAUAUAAAUUCAAAUAAGUCAAUUCAAAUAUUCUUGUAGUACCGCUCAAACUAUGCAUUUAACAUGAAAGUAGCCCAUAUUCUAAUAUAGGCUCAAAUGUGAAUUUAACCAAAAUAGAACAAAGCAUUAUCGUAACUAGAAACCUGGAAUUAAAAUUCAAAAGCCAUUUGUGAUCAUCAUAGUCAUUACCAUUAUUAUUAUAUACAAGAAAUCACAUAAAUACGUAGUACAAAAAUAUUUUUGAUACAUGCACAAGUGGUUUAAAAAUUGUAGUAUUAUUUAAAAAAAAAUCAUUUGUUUUUAAUUUCUACAAGUAGUUUUUUAUGUGAUAAUAUAUAUGAGUGAUUAUUUAGCUUCUUGAAAAAAAUUAGAAGUGAUUAAGACCCAUAACUUGUAAACUACUUUCUUGACGAAGAAUAACUUCUACAUUACAUCUACAAAUUAUCUUUUAAAUUUUAUUUUAAUAUAGUAAUUGUUCUUUUAAGACUCAUAACUUCUACAUUACUAAAUAAAAGGGAGAAAGAAGUAACACGUACUCUAGCAAGCUCAAAACCAAUAUCUUGAUAAAGACGGGGGAGUGUCAUAUUUGGCCUUUGUCCCCUGCUAAAAUAGAAAGAAAUUAAAUUGUCGCAUGCACGCACGCGUGUACGUACUUGCUUUGCUCAUGCACGUGAGCAUAGCUCAGUUAGUUGGGGUCAAAAAUUUUAGGGGUUUGUGUAUUACUAUUGGUUUGAAGAAAGUAAAGUGAAUGUUGUUUUCAUGUUGUGGAUGUAGAAGAAAGGAAUAGGAGACAGGACCGAGAGACAUG